GUAUUGGUGGUUCGGUGGUAGAAUUCUUGCCUUCCAUGCAGGAGACCCCAGUUCAAUUGCUGGCUGAUGCG
rnacentral:tRNA from 1 species